ensembl:lncRNA
CAGCCAGAAGCUCUAGCUAGCAUCAUUCUUCUCGGUUGGGUUUAGACUUCGGCUGGCGUACGCUAUUACACGUUCCCUUCCCUCCUGGGCUUGGGCUAACACUGCUCCCAACGCCUGGUUGCUUGCGUUGGUGUAGACAAUGAAAGGAAGUGUGUAGUCAGCAUAUGCCAGAACAGGGGUUUGUGUCUAGGGCAUCGAAGGCUGCUUGACACUCAGAGGACCAUUGCACUCUUCGAGUCUCAGACUUUUUAUUUGCUGGAAUGCCUGUCAACAAGUUAUUCAGGGGACGUGCAAUUUUGGCAAAUCCAGAUACAAAGCGUCUGAAGUAUCCAGCUAACCCUAGGAAGGCCCUCACUUGCCUUAUCGUGGACGGGACAGGCCAGUUUGAUACAGACAAGAUUUUAUCGGGGUCAAAUCUUACCCCAGAAUGAUCCACCACAUGGCCCAAAAACUUUACUUCUUGUUGAAGUUUACACUUGUCCAAUCGCAGUUUCAGGCCAUGCCGCAACAAUCUUUGGAUCACCUCAUCCAAAUACUGUAGGUGAAAGGAAAAAUCAGGGGAGUAUAUUAUGAUGUCGUCCAAAUACACCAACAGUGUUUAAGUGGCCAUUUGUGCUGAAAUAUUGCCAAAAGGCAUGCGCUCAAACUCAUAGUCCAAGUGGGGUUGUAAAGGCAGUUCUCUGUCUUGGGGUUCCAUCUCAACCUGCCAAUAGCCACUUGCCAGGUCAAGGGUAGAAAACCACUCGGCUUGGGUCAGGUUCGUUAGAGUCUCUUGGAAGAGGAAAAGCAUCUUUAUGGGUUACGGCAUUAAGUUUCCUAUAGUCCACACAGAACCUCCUGUUACCGUCCUUCACCAGAACUAAGGGCGUAGCCCAUGGGCUACAACUUUCUUUGAUUACCCCCUUCUCAAGCAUUUCUGCAAGUAGGUCUUUCAUUUCCUUAUACAUCAGAGGCGGAAGAGGUCGGAACCUUUCUCUUAUGGGCGCUGCAUCCCCCGUAUGGAUACGGUGUUGUACCAGGUCUGUCCGACCAAAGUCUUCAUCAUGGUUAGCAAACGCGUCCUUCCACUUCAGCAGCAGGGUGCAUAGCUCCUCCUGUUGCUGAUUAGAGAGACCAGGUCGGUUAGACAGGUUCCUUACCUCUUCAGGCAGCUCCUGUUCCUUGUGGUUGACUUGCAUCUACCAAAGCGAAUUCAACAACAACACAAUUGUCUUCCAGAGAUACGGUAAGGUCACGAGAUCCAUGCACAUCAGCUUCAUGUGGUACAGCUUACCCAAUUUCUGGUACCGCCCUAUUGACAAGGUGUAGGGAUAUGGGUUACAGACACGAACAGGGAUUCUCCCAUUUCUUACCACUGCUAUUGUCCUAGCUAUGCCAACAUUGUUGGUUUCAGGUAGUGCUUCCAUCACGGCACAGUGGUCUGUUCCUCCCGGGCCCAUCCAAGCACGGCCCCACACCAGCAGCUCACUCUUUGGUGGAACUUUGGUGGGAUAUUUUGGCGAGUAGCUGGCCGCACGUUUCCCAAGAAUCCGUCUUCUGUCAUGGUGGCCUCGAUACGUCGACAGGAAGCAAAAGCAUCCCGCCAAACUCUGGUUCUUCAGCUGCUGUGGGGUGGAAACAGGCCUUCCAGGCCGUUGAGUGUGUUUCCCAGCAGGCGGUCACAACAUUCAUACCUAUGAGAAGCAGGUGGGUGCAGUGUCUAUCUUUAACAAUCACGACUCCUAGUCCAGGUAUUUUGAUGCCUUCCACUUCCAGAUCAAACACUGCGUAGCUAGUGUAUGGGAUCUCCAGGCCGUUGGCUGCCCUUAACUGGAAAACUACAGGGGUCUUCCCCAGCUUAGCUUUGGAAAAAUGCUGCUCAAAUAAACUCCGCUGCAUUAAUGUAACCUGAGACCCCGUAUCCAACAGUCCUUGCAACUCAACCCCUUCAAUCGUUACCCAUAUAGUUGGGCAUUGCCCAAUAAAGGCUUCUGUGGCCCUUGAGUCGUGUAGUGCAUUACCAACCCCUGCCCCUUGGGCCUCAGCAGCAGGGACAGCUAGUUUAAAGCCGCCUGGGAAGCAGCAGGCCUCCUACAAUACCUGGCUAUAUGUCCCGCUUGUCUACAUUGGCGACAGAUUGGCCUACCUUGUUCAUCCCAGUCAUUAACAUCGAACGCCUGUCCCCUAUGUUGUGGCAGGGGCUGUGGGUGAGCAUUGACUGGUUGAAGGAGUGGUUUAAUUUCCUUCAUUAAGUCUUGGGUGAGUCCUUGCAUCUGGGAUUUCACAUCUUCCAUGAUCUCUCGCUUCAGCGUGUCUCUCCAACUUUCCUUCUGUAACAAAGCAGGGGAGGCAUGAGAGUUGUUCACAGAAAAGCAUGUUACCUCCGGCUGUGUGUAUCCGUGUUCUGAGUCCAGCAGUAGUGCCUCUUGCCGUAGUGCAGCAGAGUCUGGGUUACGGCGCGCAUACACCUUCAGUGCCUGAGCCAUUGGGCCUUCGUUUAGCCCAAGCAACAACUGGUCUCGUAGCACCGUGUCAGAGGGGGCGUUGCUUGGAUCAUGCCGUCGCAACAUGCAAAACCGCUCUCUCAACCGUAAUAUGAACGAGGGUACGGUCUCUCCAGAUACCAGCAACGCCACCUAGUUGCGGAGUCUAGGUCUCCAUAAAAACAGGUUAUUUUUCACCAGAGGAAGAACAGCAUGGACCACAAGACUUAAAAGCGUGGUUUAAAAUGAGGAUUUUAUUAUUAACUACAA